AUAUCAAUAAGCGGAGGAAAAGAAACCAACAGGGAUUGCCUCAGUAACGGCGAGUGAAGCGGCAACAGCUCAAAUUUGAAAUCUGGCCUCUGGCCCGAGUUGUAAUUUGCAGAGGAUGUUUCUGGCGAGGUGCCUUCCGAGUUCCCUGGAACGGGACGCCAUAGAGGGUGAGAGCCCCGUACGGUUGGUCGCUAAGCCUCUGUGAAACUCCUUCGACGAGUCGAGUAGUUUGGGAAUGCUGCUCUAAAUGGGAGGUGUACGCCCUCUUAAGCUAAAUACCGGCUAGAGACCGAUAGCGCACAAGUAGAGUGAUCGAAAGAUGAAAAGCACUUUGAAAAGAGGGUUAAAAAGUAC
rnacentral:rRNA from 1 species